rnacentral:piRNA from 1 species
UCCCNGGGUUAUUGUUGCCUGAGCAUCAGU